CAGCAGCCGCGGUAAUGCGAAGGGAGCUAGCGUUGCUCGGAAUGACUGGGCGUAAAGGGCGCGUAGGCGGCGGCCAAAGUCAGGCGUGAAAUUCCUGGGCUCAACCUUGGGGCUGCGCUUGAUACUUGGUUGCUUGAGUGGGGAAGAGGGUCGUGGAAUUCCCAGUGUAGAGGUGAAAUUCGUAGAUAUUGGGAAGAACACCGGUGGCGGAGGCGGCGACCUGGUCCUUGACUGACGCUGAGGCGCGAAAGCGUGGGGAGCAAACAGGAUUAGAUACCCGCGUAGUCCCUGUCUCUUAUAC
rnacentral:rRNA from 1 species